rnacentral:rRNA from 1 species
UACGGGGGGAGCAAGCGUUGUUCGGAUUUACUGGGCGUAAAGGGCGCGUAGGCGGUCAGCACAAGUCAAUUGUGAAAUCUCCGAGCUUAACUCGGAAAGGUCAACUGAAACUGUGCGACUAGAGUGCGGAAGGGGCAACUGGAAUUCUUGGUGUAGCGGUGAAAUGCGUAGAUAUCAAGAGGAACACCUGCGGCGAAGGCGGGUUGCUGGGCCGACACUGACACUGAGGAGCGAAAGCGUGGGGAGCGAACAGG